rnacentral:rRNA from 1 species
UACGGAGGGUGCAAGCGUUAUCCGGAUUCACUGGGUUUAAAGGGUGCGUAGGUGGGCAAGUAAGUCAGUGGUGAAAUCUCCGGGCUUAACCCGGAAACUGCCAUUGAUACUAUUUGUCUUGAAUACUGUGGAGGUCAGCGGAAUAUGUCAUGUAGCGGUGAAAUGCUUAGAUAUGACAUAGAACACCAAUUGCGAAGGCAGCUGGCUACACAAAUAUUGACGCUCAUGCACGAAAGCGUGGGGAUCAAACAGG